GGGAAUAAUCACUGGAAACGGUGACUAAUACCGCAUAAUAUUCUUGGAAGGCAUCUUCCGAGAAGGAAAGGAAAUAUUCGGUAAAAGAUGGGCCCGCAUCUGAUUAGCUAGUUGGUGAGAUAACAGCCCACCAAGGCGACGAUCAGUAGCCGACCUGAGAGGGUGACCGGCCACAUUGGGACUGAGACACGGCCCAAACUCCUACGGGAGGCAGCAGUGGGGAAUAUUGCACAAUGGGGGGAACCCUGAUGCAGCAACGCCGCGUGAAGGAAGACGGUUUUCGGAUUGUAAACUUCUAUCAAUAGGGAAGAAAGAAAUGACGGUACCUAAAUAAGAAGCCCCGGCUAACUACGUGCCAGCAGCCGCGGUAAUACGUAGGGGGCAAGCGUUAUCCGGAAUUACUGGGUGUAAAGGGAGAGUAGGCGGCAAGGUAAGCGAUAUGUGAAAGCCUUAGGCUUAACCUGAGGAUUGCAUAACGAACUAUCUAGCUAGAGUACAGGAGAGGAAAGCGGAAUUCCUAGUGUAGCGGUGAAAUGCGUAGAUAUUAGGAAGAACACCAGUGGCGAAGGCGGCUUUCUGGACUGAAACUGACGCUGAGGCUCGAAAGCGUGGGGAGCGAACAGGAUUAGAUACCCUGGUAGUCCACGCUGUAAAC
rnacentral:rRNA from 1 species